GAUGAACGCUAGCGGCAGGCUUAAUACAUGCAAGUCGAGGGGCAGCAUGAGUAGCAAUACUUGAUGGCGACCGGCAAACGGGUGCGGAACACGUACACAACCUUCCUUUCAGCGGGGAAUAGCCCAGAGAAAUUUGGAUUAAUACCCCAUAGAAUAUUGAAGAGGCAUCUCUUUAUUAUUAAAGAUUUAUCACGGAAAGAUGGGUGUGCGGCUGAUUAGAUAGUUGGCGGGGUAACGGCCCACCAAGUCUACGAUCAGUAGCUGAUGUGAGAGCAUGAUCAGCCACACGGGCACUGAGACACGGGCCCGACUCCUACGGGAGGCAGCAGUAAGGAAUAUUGGUCAAUGGACGAAAGUCUGAACCAGCCAUGCCGCGUGGAGGAUGAAGGUCCUCUGGAUUGUAAACUUCUUUUAUAAGGGACGAAAAAAGGGUAUUCUUACUCACUUGACGGUACCUUAUGAAUAAGCACCGGCUAACUCCGUGCCAGCCGCCGCAGUAACAC
rnacentral:rRNA from 1 species